UCCACAGAAGAGCGAGACGAAUUGAAUCAAUGGAGUCGAGUAUUUCAGCAGAACGAGUUGGAUCAGAGAGCCCUAAGGCCAAAGAAGAAUUCAAGAACGAGCAUACCAUAAUCUCCGGCGACGAAGGCAACUUCGAGAACAGCAAGAACCCGGUUAUUGUCGCCGUAGUUACCGCUGCCGAUCACCGUGUCGAGGUUGCUCCCGUCAUUUUCCUGCUAAAACUGUCGAGCCACCCCAAGAGACAAGAGACCAAGAAUGCGAGGAAUGAUAAGAAGAAGAAACAGAAGAAGGAGGUGCAAAUAUCCAACACCUAGAAACCCUUCAUCUUCUAUCUCAAUCGUGCCAAGAGGUACAUAAAAACUAGUUCAAUGAGGUUGAACUUUGCGGCUUAGGAAUGGCUAUUCCUACUGUUGUCACUAUAGCUGAGAUUCUGAAACGAAAUGGAUUUGCAACCCAGAAAGGAAUACCGACAUCGACUGUGCUCGGCACCCAGGAGGAUCGAAAGGGUAGUCGGAUCGAGAAAGCUAAGAUUUAGUGAUGGGGAAAGCUGAUAAUUUAUGAAAGCUGCUGAUCAGAAGGCAUAGAGAUUGAAG